rnacentral:lncRNA from 1 species
AUGGCGGAAAAAGUCAAUAGGAAAAGAUAACACAUUGAAAAAUAUUGGUUUAUCUCUGAAACAAGGAAGAAACUAUUAUUGUGAAUUGCUUUAAUCAAUGUUAUCGUAAAAUGGAACAACAACAGAAAACAUUGAUUACAUUAACUUUCUUUCUAGCUUUGCUAGGAAUAACUUUAAUUGUUAUUUCUCUGGCCACAGAUAACUGGGUGGAGUCGAACCCACUAACGAUUAAAAAUGGAACUUCUGAUGUUGACCACUCUCGUAAAAGUGAUGUUAAUUUUGGUUUAUUUAGAGGACAUAGGAUUCUUGAUUAUGGAUUUGGACAAAGGGAAUCUGCAUUGACAGGUGACGUGAUUUUAAUAUUGAGCCCAAAAUUAUGUACUCCUUUCUCAUGAUACCGGGGCUUCCAUGAUACCGGUGUAAACAGUUUUCUCGCGAGACUUUUAUGUUAGCCCCGCCUACUGGAUGUUGACAUAAUUAGCAGAGUAAACCGGAAGCCGCUAUUCCGUAUCGCACAUUUUUUUGUGAAAAUAUUUCAACAUGGCAUCAUACUCGUCGGGAAUUAAUAAACAAUAACCAGAUAAUUAAAGUUUUCAAUUCAUUAUAAUAAUGAGGAAGGAUGUAGGAAGCAGCAAAGAAAUAAAAAACUGAGGUGAA